AUGAAUAUUGCCCUUCUGACUCGGUGGCUCUGGAGGAUUAGCAACGGUGAUGGUGGCCUGUGGCUAUGCAUCAUUCGGCAGAAAAACCUCCGAGGCCAGCCUCUCGCCUUCUCUCAGCGAUCUGGGGGCUCCCAGUUCUGGCAAUCCAUCAUUCAGCUCCUCCGUGUCCUUCGAAUCGGGACCUCGAUCGUGAUUGGUUCCGGUACCGCCAUGCUGUUCUGGUUUGAUCGCUGGACUGGUGAUACGCCCCUGGCGGUCUGCUUUCCAGGCCUGUUCUCCAUCGCGGUUGCCCCUCAGAUCUCCAUGGCGACCGCCCUUAUUGACUUAGGGUGGCUUGUGUUCCGGAGGCCCUUUGGUCCUACUAAGAAUGUGGACUGGCAGGAGUUGCUUGACUGUAUUGCUCUCCAUGAGCCGGACCUCACGUCUGACGAUGACCGCGCCAGGUGGCGCCUCGAGCCGUCCGGUCAAUUCUCCACCAAGUCUCUCUAUCUGGCCAUCGCCCCCUCGCUCGGCCAUGAGGCUCUCUCCUCCAUUUGGGAGAUUCGCCUCCCCUUGAAAAUUAGGAUCUUCGUGUGGGAGUGGAUUCGUGGCCGCCUCCCUUCUAGCGUUGAGGUUCUGAAGCGCAAUGGCCCUGGUGAUGGGCGUUGCCCGCUCUGUGGGCCUGAAGAAGAUUUGAACCAUAUCUUCUUCACCUGCGUGUCUGCGCAGUUCCUAUGGAGCUGUUUACGCGAGAUUGAGGGUGGAAGCUGGGCUCAUACCAACUUCCCCGCUCUCUUUGCCGAACUCCAGGCGACCCCCACCCCCCAGUUGCGCCACAUUAGGUGGCUGACCAUUGGGGUCCUUGCCUGGACGAUGUGGACUGUUAGGAAUAAACUUGUGAUUUAG
rnacentral:rRNA from 1 species